rnacentral:lncRNA from 1 species
GUGACACUGUCAUGACAGUCCUAGGUCUCCAAAGUGGAGAUGGAGAACCUUGAUUCACCCCACCCAUCGGCAGGCUGCAGAACCAUAGGUGCAAAGGUAGACAAAGCCAGAUUCCGCCCUUGAGAAGGAGCACAGAAACUAGGAAGACACGGGACCAAUAGACAUUCAAUUUCAGGCAAAUAAAGGAAGCAAGAGAUGAUGGUCUUCUCAUGUUUGACAUUUUCUCAAGUGAAUCAGGGACUGGAGAUUUCAUGGCAAAGUCCUCUUCCUUUCCUUCUGCUUCUCCC